GAAGUUAGCAAUAACUUUCUAGUGGCGAACGGGUGAGUAACGCGUAGACAACCAACCUUUUUGUGGGGGACAACACUUCGAAAGGAGUGCUAACACCGCAUACGCUCUUGAUGCCGCCUGGUGUUAAGAGGAAAGGAGCUUUACGGCUUCGCAAAAAGACGGGUCUGCGUCUGAUUAGCUAGUUGGAGGGGUAACGGCCCACCAAGGCGACGAUCAGUAGCCGGUCUGAGAGGAUGGACGGCCACACUGGGACUGAGACACGGCCCAGACUCCUACGGGAGGCAGCAGUGGGGAAUCUUCCGCAAUGGACGAAAGUCUGACGGAGCGACGCCGCGUGAGUGAUGAAGGCCCUUGGGUCGUAAAGCUCUGUCAUCAGGGACGAACGGUCACGUCAGGAAAUGGGCGUGAAUUGACGGUACCUGAGAAGGAAGCCACGGCUAACUACGUGCCAGCAGCCGCGGUAAUACGUAGGUGGCGAGCGUUGUCCGGAAUUAUUGGGCGUAAAGCGCGCGCAGGUGGGAUCUUAAGUCUGUUCUGAAAGUUCGGAGCUUAACUCCGUGAUGGGAUGGAAACUGGGAUUCUUGAGUAUCGGAGAGGAAAGCGGAAUUCCCCGUGUAGCG
rnacentral:rRNA from 1 species